CUCACACCUGGGCACCCUCUGUAGGUCUAUGGGCUGGGGGACCCUGUCUUCCUUCUGUGGUUCUACGUCUCUACACACACACUGUAAUAAAGUUUUAUGGAAUGUACAUCGCGUCUAACGCAAUACAAUACAACUUUCAGCAACGGAUCUCUUGGCUCUCGCAUCGAUGAAAAACGCAGCGAAAUGCGAUAAGUAAUGUGAAUUGCAGAAUUCAGUGAAUCAUCGAAUCUUUGAACGCACCUUGCGCCCCUUGGCUAUUCCGAGGGGCAUGCCUGUUUGAGUAUCAUGAACACCUCAACUCUCAUGGUUUGCCAUGAUGAGUUGGACUCUGGGGGUUUUGCUGGCCUGUGGUCAGCUCCUCUCAAAUUAAUCACCCUCCCAGUGUUUGGUGGCAUCACGGGUGUGAUAAAUAUCUACGCUCGCUGUUGUCUGCCAGGUAACCUUUGGUCACAGAAGUUUGCUGGAGCUCACAGAUGUCUCUCCUCACCGAGGACAGCUUUUUUAACGUUCGAUCUCAAAUCACGUAGGACUACCCGCUGAACUUAAGCAUA
rnacentral:rRNA from 1 species